rnacentral:lncRNA from 1 species
GACUUUUGACCGGUAUGUUGUCCACAUACACCUCUAUAUUUCGGCUGAUCUGUUCUUCAAAAAUUUUGGUUUACCAACCAUUGGUAGGUGGCACCUACAUUUUUCAAUCUAAAGAGUAUAACCUUGUAAUAGAAAAGACUAUGAUUAGUAAUAAAAGUAAUUUUCUCCUCAUCUUUAAAUAUCAUUUGGAUUUAGUUAUAGCCGAAGAAGGCAUC